rnacentral:tRNA from 1 species
AGGGGCAAUGGUGCUGGUGCACUGGGCGGUCUUCAAAACCGUACUGUCUCCGCGUGAAAACGGGGUGGAGGUUCGAUUCCCCUUGCCCCUUCCA